CCGAGUUUUCAACUCCCAAACCCCAUGUGAACUUAUACCAAUCUUUGCUUCGGCGGGUUCUCGCCCCGGGCUUUACACCCCGGAACCAGGCGGCCCGCCGGGGGACUCAAACUCUAGAUUUUUUACUUUAGCAUGUCUGAGUGGAAUCAUUACAAAAUGAAUC
rnacentral:misc_RNA from 1 species